AUUAUUCGUCUUCACGAGGAUUCCUAGUAAAUGCAAGUCAUCAGCUUGCGUUGAUUACGUCCCUGCCCUUUGUACACACCGCCCGUCGCUCCUACCGAUUGAGUGAUCCGGUGAGCUGUCCGGACUGCGAUUAGUUCAGUUUCUGUUCUCUUCGCGGGAAGUUCUGCAAACCUUAUCACUUAGAGGAAGGAGAAGUCGUAACAAGGUUUCCGUAGGUGAACCUGCGGAAGGAUCAUUC
rnacentral:ncRNA from 1 species